rnacentral:rRNA from 2 species
GAACUGAAGAGUUUGAUCCUGGCUCAGAUUGAACGCUGGCGGCAUGCCUUACACAUGCAAGUCGAACGGCAG